GACGAACGCUGGCGGCGCGCUUAACACAUGCAAGUCGAACGGAAAGGCCUGCUUUCCCUUGUGGAUUGCGGGUACUCGAGUGGCGAACGGGUGAGUAACACGUGAGUGAUCUGCCCCCAACUUGGGUAUAAGCCUGGGAAACUGGGUCUAAUUCCCGAUAGGACUGCAGGGUGGUGCCUGUGGUGGAAAACGAUUUUCUAGUGGUUGGGGAUGAGCUCGCGACCUAUCAGCUUGUUGGUGGGGUAAUGGCCUACCAAGGCGGCGACGGGUAGCCGGCCUGAGAGGGUGGACGGCCACAUUGGGACUGAGAUACGGCCCAGACUCCUACGGGAGGCAGCAGUGGGGAAUAUUGCACAAUGGGCGGAAGCCUGAUGCAGCGACGCCGCGUGGGGGAUGACGGCCUUCGGGUUGUAAACUCCUUUCGACCGCGAGGAAGCCACCUGGUUGGAAGGGUGGUGACGGUAGUGGUAGAAGAAGCACCGGCUAACUACGUG
rnacentral:rRNA from 1 species